rnacentral:tRNA from 1 species
GAGGUUGUAGCUUAGUGGUCAGAGCGUCGGAUUCACGAUUUGAAGGUCGGGGGUUCGAUUUCCGAUUCCA